UAAGCUAAGAGGAGAAUAGAAAGUUCGGUAGAACACAUAUUUGAAGAGGUUUUGGGCGUUAGGGUCAGAUUUCGAACGACAACAAUGAUCAUUAGCCGUGAAGGAUGAGAUAUUCUGCUUGUUUGAAAGAGCUCUAGACAAUUUAGGGAGCUUGAGACAACAAUAUGGACUUUCCAAAUCUGGAAAUGGCGUAGACGGAAGAUCCACUGCAUGUUAUGAUUUCCAUUGCUCCUGCUUCUGAUUAUUUGAAGGAUUUAUGCAAAGUGAGUGUGUGGAAGAGUGAAGCAACAGAGCAGGUAUGGCCAGUAACUCUGCUUCUGGUGAACCUUGUACAUGUAAGACUAGUGGAAUUUGUUUGUUUGUGUCUAUGACUACUUUAACUUUGUGGAAAAUGUGAGUGUCAAAUUUGUGUGUUUUUGUUUGCUCAUUUUUAUGAAGUCUGAAAUCAAUUUUAGUUUUAGUUUUACCUUGUAA